AGAAGCCAUUGCUGCUAGGAGGUACAUUCCCUGCAAAACACGUGAAUGGUUCAGCUGAAUCAAAGAUCCACAAGCCACACCUCUGCCUUUGGAGUGGAUCCAAAGGUUCAAGAUUGGGAGAGCCAUUGUAAGGAUAUUUGAGCAAUGCCUAGGACACUGCCGCUAGCGCUAGCUGUGCUCCUGGUGCUAUGUGCCUGUUGGAGUGAAUGCUUGCAGUCCACUGAAUACCAACACACAAUAUAUAUUGAUCCGGGCAAUCCAAAUAGCAUCAAUGAUAGCUCCUGCUAUACUAACUCUGUGGAGCAUCCUUGUGGUGAUAUAAACAUUGCUUUAGCAUUUCCAGACAAACAACACUCGACUGUCUUCCAUCUUAGCUCUAAUGCUAACCACAAAUUGGCUAAUAAUGCGACUAAUAUGUUGUUCACAGAAGGUUCCCAAAUAGCCUUUGUUGGAGACAAUGGUACCGCUACAGUAGAGUGCAUGGAAGGUGCUGGACUGGCAUUUAUUAACUCUACCAAUAUUAACAUUAAUAGAGUGAGCUUUCUUUAUUGUGGAGCAUGGAGACCAAGUACUAGCUCAAAUUUUACAUCGAACACUUUGCAAUUGAUUUUGAUUCGUGUUGGCCUGUACUUUUACAAUUGUCGCAAUGUUAAUAUGUCUCGCAUGAGUGUCUCAAACAGUACUGAGGCAGUGGGUGUGGUCAUGUACAGUGUGGCGGGAGAGAAUUAUAUCGACAACUCACAUUUUGAUAACAACAGGAUUAGUGAGAGCAAUAAAAACGAGUCUGGAGGUGGAGGGUUCGCUGUGGAGUUCAAUUAUUGUAAGCCGGGGGACGAUACCUGUGGAGAGAACAAUACACAAACUGCAAACAAUAGUGAUGCUGUCUACACUUUUGAGAACUGCUCGUUUAUCUUCAAUCGUGCAAUAGAUCAAUCUGGAAAGAAUCAAACAGAUAUAUCAAUCCUCCCCAGAAAGGAAAUCCAUUACUCCCUCGGUCGUGGUGGGGGACUUUCCCUCUAUUUCAAAGGCACAGCAAUGAAGAACAAUAUAACCGUUAGGAACUGCUCUUUCUAUCACAAUCAUGCAACAUGGGGGGCCGGAAUGAUUAUUGAACUUGUGGACAGGGCUAUUCAAAAUUUUGUUUUUGUCGUAGAUUCGCAUUUUACAAGAAACCAUUGCUACUACGUGGAUAGUAAUGAUUUCAAAGGAGGUCCUGGAGGUGGUAUACGCAUGGCAUCUUUUAUUUAUUUCCCAAAGAUGUUGAAUGAAUCUCUCCAAAGAAAUUCUUUCCUCAUUAAGUCGUGUAUAUUUCAUGACAACAGAGCUAUAUAUGGCGGGGCAUUGUCCAUUUCUUUCCACCGCCAGUUAAACGUCCACCGUCACCAGCUUGCUCAAGCAAAUAUAUCUGGAUCAGUAUUCCAGUUUAAUUCUGCUAGACUCGGCUCGGCCGUUAGUGUUGAUCGUGAUCAUUACUUCGCUCGUGGAGAUUUAGGUACAGCAUAUUUUCGAGCCUGUACUUUUAACAAUAAUAGCAUUGUGUAUGAGAAGGCAAGAGCUUAUAGUGUUGGUAUUGGUGCACUGUAUAUCUCAGAAGUCGCUGUUGUUUUUGAGGAAUAUCAUUAUUUUCAGUAUAAUAAGGGUACAGCUUUGGCCAUCGUUGGAACCACCCUCACGUUUAGCGACUAUGUAACUGUAUUAUUUAUAAGCAAUACCGGAUCACAAGGGGGUGCAAUAUCUCUACUGGGAAUGGCUUCUGUUAUAAUGGGGGCUAAUACCAAUAUUACCUUCGAGAACAAUUAUGCUAGCCUCUACGGAGGAGCUAUUUUCAACAACUAUAUAGGAAAAGAAGACUUGAGGUCCUCUGUGAAAUGUUUUCUGCAGUACUUCGAUCCGUUUGUGGCUCCCAAGAAGUGGCUAACUCAAUUUGUUUUCAAAGGUAACAAGGCAGAAAAACUUGGUCAUUCAAUUUUCUCCACUACUAUUCUCCCUUGUUCGUGGUCAGAAGGUACUGAAGCGGACUCGAACGUUGCCGAGAAAAUCUUUUGCUGGAGUAAUUCGACCUGGGUAUAUGUGAAUAGCUCGUGUGAUGAACAGAUUCGUACGUACCCUAAAACUUUCAAUUUAUCUAAUGCUACACAGCGUAUUUUCCCAGGUCACAAUUUUCAGAUGGGAAUUGUAGCGAUGGACGAUUUGAACCACAAUGUAACACUUGAUACUGUCUAUACAGCCGUCACUAAUAACUCCAUCUCUAAAGUUGACCCAAGAUUCACAUACAUAGCUGACGGGUAUGUUAGUGUAACAGGCAAAGAAGAGGAAGAAACAAUUCUCAAAUUGAAUACUGCUGGAAGUAGGGACUGGGGUAUUCAUCUUAACUUGACAAUCAGCAAAUGCCCUCCUGGUUUUUUGGCUCAAGCCCCAGAAUCUACUGUAUCUAUUGAUGGAUCUAAAUCGUAUGAUAAGUCUCAGAGUGCAUGUGAAUGUAUUGGCGGGAGCGAUAUCUUUUCUUUCGAAAAAAACUUACUGUGUGAUAAACCCAAGUUGGUGUCGAAGAUUAGAAACGGUUACUGGAUUGGAAUUGUGCCUUCAAUUAACAAUACUGCUCUGUAUAUGGGAACCACCUCGUUGCUGUACAAUUAUGCACAGACAGAUUUCUUCUCAAUCGAUCAAGACUAUGACCAGCUGGAUCACAAGCAAUGCGCUUUCCUCAACCGCACUGGACCUCUGUGUGGCAAGUGUAGAGACGGUUUUUCCACUGCGGUAAACUCCCACAAUUACGAAUGCGUACCGUGCGAAAGAAACACCACAAAUCUCAUUGCUAACGUUUUCACUUAUAUCGGACUAACUUACGUUCCAUACGUGAUUAUCUUCAUCGUGAUAACUUGUUGUGAUAUUCGAUUAAUGAGUGGUCCUUUAGUAAGUUUUAUCCUCUACGCUCAGUUGAUAGGCUCUGGGGUAACUAAUUUGACAGCUGUUACUAGUACGCCGUACACUAUUAAGGACGAGGAAAAUCCACACAUAUCGCAAGAAGCAGAUACUUCACACAUGAUAGUAAUAUUGCAAAAAGCUUAUCGAAUCGCUUAUGGAUUGUUCAAUCUGAACUCUCUUUCUGAUGUAAUGGACCCAUUUUGUGUUAGGGAGAACUUCACUGCUCUUGAUGUAAUCUGCCUUGACUAUGCUGUUGCUGUUUUUCCGUUGCUACCAAUCUUCACUGUGUAUGUUGUUAUGCAUUUACGACAUUUUAAAUUGUGUGCAAAAAAAAAGAGAAGAAUUACAAAUGUCUCUGGAGCGAUGGCUAGAGCCAACGUGGACAAAGCUCCUGAAAGAUCUAUGCUUCAUCCCUUGGUGAGCUUCAUAUAUUUGUCGUACACAAAAUUCACUCUAACUUCCACAAAACUACUCUCUACGACUAGUGUGUUUGAUAAAGAUGGUGCACCUGGUGGCUAUCUAGUCUACUACGCUGGACAGUAUCAGUUUGGGGAGCCGCAAUACAUUUGGCCGUAUGGUGUGUUGGCAAUUUCGGUUUUUAUCAUCUUUGCUAUCUUUUUUCCCUUGGUUUUUCUCGGACUAAUCGAUUUUAUAAACUGGCUGCUCGAUAAACCUAGGUUCCAAUCCCUACAAAGAUUUUGGCCAACAUUAACUGUGAAUCAUUAUAUGGAUGCAUUUCAAGGCUGCUAUGAACCGAAACAACGAUAUUUUACUGGCUUAUAUUUUGUGCUUAGGCUGAUUGUAUUUGUUGUAUAUGCUUUCUCGGUCAAUGAAGUUUUAUCCAAAAUUUGGCAACUGGUGUUUUUGUUCUUAAUAGUAAUUGCUGUCUCCUUUAAACAACCUUACAGAGUUAAAUUGUUCAAUUAUCUGGAUAUUGCUAUUUUCUUCAAUCUUGCUCUUAUAAACUUCAUCUCGAUCUAUUUGUACUCUGAAAAUGCGAAAAAUGUACACUCAAGUUACCCUGCUGCUUUUUACGUAAUUGGUGUAAUUUUGAUCUGGCUCCCCAUGGUCUACUUUGUCCUCUACAUUUGUUACUUGCUUUUUCAUAAGACACCGAUUUACAAAAACAGCACUCGCCGUCUUUUACAUUUAACCACUCGUUUGCGUAACCGUUGGCGCAAUUUCUGUGGUGAACCAGCUGUUGAAGAACCCGAACAACAGCAGCUGCUAAACCCUGCUACGAGAGGAAGAAUGUAUUCAGGAGAAAUAACGAACGAUGGAUUGACAGAUAAUGACAUGUUCAAUAGAGCGAAAGAGACGAGCAGGUCCAAAAACAAACCAAAUCGUCAGAAAAAGGUUACCAGUAGUGUAGUCGUUGCCGAUGGUAUUGAAGGUAUCGCUGAUGUGUAUGGGACUAGUGUUACGGUUUCAUCUGGGAUUGCAACUGGCGAAAGUGGUCGACUCAGCACUGGCACUGGAAGCUCAAAAUCAUCGGAUGUGCAAGUAACAGAUAAUGAAGAACACCAGUAACAGAAUGCACUGUGUAUAGAUUAGCUACUUUUAUUAUCUGUACUCUGUUCUAUGUAACUAUAAUAAUGGGAUUCUAGA